AAAGGGAGACCUAAUUCAGGUAGGAGACGAAAAAAAGUAGUCGCUACCAAGAAUCAAUCCCAAAAGGUCGGAGCGAGGCAAAAUUGGCUUUCAAACUAGGUUCUGGGUUCAAACAAGACCUGAAUCAGGAACAAGGGCUAUUAGCUCAGGUGGUUAGAGCGCACCCCUGAUAAGGGUGAGGUCCCUGGUUCGAGUCCAGGAUGGCCCACCUGCACAGGUGGUAAAAACAAAGAAAAGAAGCGAGGAAUCAGCACCUUAUCUUAUCUAUAUAUAAGUAAGAGAGAAUGCUGGCUCUAAGUGAAGAGUCCAGAGGAACCUUGAAAACUGCAUAGAGCUAGGUGAAAAAGCCAAAAAAGAAGACCGCAAG
rnacentral:tRNA from 1 species